rnacentral:lncRNA from 1 species
GCAACCUUCUUUUAUUUAUAAUGACUUUGCCCUUUGAAAGAGCGGCAAAAAAUCGGCUCUCAUUAUUUGCACUUUGCUGGUAUUUCCUUUGGUAAUUUUUUUUCGUUAUUCUCUGUUGUUUCCAAUGAAAAACUUUUUCGCAAAAAUCGUAGGGGCGUCUCAAAAUAAAGUAACAAAAAAAAAAACGAAAUACAAAAGCAGCUGAGCUGCAGCUCGGCCAAUCUUCUCUUGGGUCAACCUCAAGUCCUGCCUCUCAAGUCCAGAGACGAGGGAACCGGACAUGGUGCAAAAGAGUUAUUAGUUUUUGCGGUGCAGCCUCAUAAAAUGUUGUUUUUCUUCGAGUGUCGCCGCCACGCCAGCGCAAAGUUUUGAAGGUUUUUGUUUUAUAUGUUUUUUUUCCAAAAGGAAAUAAUUAAAAAUGUGAAAAGCUGGC